rnacentral:rRNA from 1 species
CUACGGGCGGCUGCAGUGAGGAAUAUUGCACAAUGGACGGAAGUCUGAUGCAGCGACGCCGCGUGGAUGUUGAAGGCCUUCGGGUUGUAAAAUCCUUUUCAGGGAGAAGAGGAAGGACGGUAUCCCUGGAAUAAGCGUCGGCUAACUACGUGCCAGCAGCCGCGGUAAUACGUAGGACGCAAGCGUUAUCCGGAUUUACUGGGCGUAAAGCGUCUGUAGGCGGUUUAGUAAGUUUGAUGUGAAAGCUCCAGGCUCAACUUGGAGAGUGCAUUGAAUACUGCUAGACUUGAGGGGAUCAGAGGAAAGCGGAAUUUCCGGUGUAGCGGUAAAAUGCGCAGAUAUCGGAAAGAACACCAGUGGCGAAGGCGGCUUUCUGGGAUCAACCUGACGCUGAGAGACGAAAGCUAGGGUAGCGAACAGGAUUAGAUACCCGCGUAGUC